rnacentral:ncRNA from 1 species
GGAAUUAUUAUGGAAAUAAAAUAGCUAUAUAUUAAAGAUUAAAAUAGGAUGGCUGCCGUCUAGGCAUCGAUUUUUCAGGUUUUUUAAAAAACAAAAUUCUAGGACAAAUCCAAUAAUAAACGAAGUGAAUUGAAGUAUCUUAGUAACUUCAGGAAAAUAAAUCAAACGAGAUUUUGUAUUUAACAAAAUAAGCUUACAAGUAAAAUGGAUUAAAUAUCUGUUUGAAUAAAGGGGAACCUUCCUCUAAAGCUAAAUAUGAUAUAUAAGCAAUAGCGAUAAGUACCGUGAGGGAAAAAUGGAAAUAGUAGUUUUAUAAGCAGCUCGAAUUAAAUUUAAAUGAAUAAUAAGAGCGUACCUUUUGCAUAAUGGGUCAGCAAGUUAAUAUUAGAUGCAAGCAUAUAAAUUAUAUGCCUAGAUAAACCAAUUAUGAAUUAAUGAAAAGUAUCUAAAAUUAGACCCGAAGGCUAAUGAUCUUACCAUGAUCAGGGUGAUAAAAGCCCGAACGGGUUAUCGUUGUAUAGAUAUCCGAUGAAUUGUGGUAAGUUAGUGAAAGACAAAUCUGAUUAGUAUAGCUGGUUUUCCGCGAAACCUAUUUAAGUAGGUAAUUCAAAUAACAUUCUAGCAGGUACAGAAUUGUGAUCUCGAACAAUAUCAAAAUGAAUUUUUUGUAUACAUCGGGGGAUCGUGAAGAUUUUAUCGGAGAGUAUUUGCACUCGGAAGGGCUAGAAUGAAUUUUGAAUAAUCGGACAUAGUACGAUAAGGUUGUAUGUCUAAAGGGAAACAGCCCUAAACAAGAAUUAAUAAGGUUCCAAAAUUAUUGUUGAGUGAAAUAAAGGAUGUUUUUAUCGAAUACAUACAGGAAAUAGGCUUAGAAGCGGCCAUUUUUUGAAGAUCUCGUAACAGAGCACUGGUUUGAUAAAAAUUAAAGUUUUUAUAGGUAAAAAUACUUAAAAUUUAACGGAUCUAAAUAAUAUACCGAUAUCUUGUCUAUAUAUAUAAUACAGAUAUUUAUAUAUGGGGUAGCGGAACAUUGGGAAUAUAUAUGAUUUAUUUUUUUGAAAAAAUAAAGAAAACCAAGAUUAUUAUUCACUUAUACUGCAAGUAAUAAGUGAAUAAUAAUAUAACUGAAUAAUAAUAUAACCCAAGAGAUAAUGCUGACAUGAGUAACGAAAAAGAUAAUGUUCCUAAUUAAUAUACUACCGUAUAAUAUUCGGUUCAUUACUCGCCUUAAGCUUAUGGUAUUUUAGAACGGCCUCUAAAUUAAUUAACCGAAAGGUUAGAAUCUUAACACCUGAAUAAAAGGGUGGCCAAUUUGUUUCUUUAUAAAACAAGUUUCCCUUGGAGUGGGAUAUUAUAAUGGUAAGAUGAUGAGAACAGAUAGCGGAAAAAGUAAACAUUUAUUAAAUGUUUUUUUCUAUUUUAUGGUUUGCAAAAACUUUUUAUUAUAAAGUAAUAAAAGUUCUGGAAAGCAAAACUAUGUUAAUAUUGUUAAAAAAAAAAACGAUAUAAAUAAUAUUUAUAUUAUUUAAUAACCCAUAUUAACCGUACCUAGAAACUACCACAAGUAAGCAAGUAGAGUAUACAAAGGCGAAUGAGUGAACAAUCAUUAAGGAACUCGGCAAAAUGACUACCGUAACUUCGGGAUAAGGAGAGCCGUUCUUUCUGUUUAAAAGCAGAUGAAGGAUAGGAAGCAUAUAAUAGUGUUGUACGACUGUUUAAUUAAAACAAAGCACUCUGCAAAGAUAAAAUCAAAGUAUUGAGUGUGAUUUCUGCCCAAUGUCAGUAGGUUAACAGAUUUUCUUAAUUGACUAAAUCAAGUUAAGUUUUGAAGGAUACCCUGAUUAAUGGCGGCCUUACCUAUGAGGGUCCUAAGGUAGCGGAAUACCCUGGCCGUUAAAUGCGGUCUUGCAUGAAUGAGUUAACGAUACAACAGCUGUCUCAAUGAUUGGCUCAGUGAAAUUG